UUUCCGAAUGGGGGAACCCAACAUCUUUAAUAGGAUGUUACGAUUGUGUGAAUACAUAGCACAUUCGAGGUAGACGCAGAGAACUGAAACAUCUAAGUACCUGCAGGAAGAGAAAGAAAAUUCGAUUCCCUGAGUAGCGGCGAGCGAAACGGGAAAAGCCCAAACCAGCAAGCUUGCUUGUUGGGGUUGUAGGACUCCAAUAUGGUAGUUCUUUCAGAUAGUCGAAUGACUUGGAAAAGUCAGUCAAAGAGGGUAAAAACCCCGUAGACGAAAUGUGGAAGACACCUAGGAGGAUCCUGAGUACGGCGGAACACGAGAAAUUCCGUCGGAAUCCGGGAGGACCAUCUCCCAAGGCUAAAUACUCCCUAGUGACCGAUAGUGAACCAGUACCGUGAGGGAAAGGUGAAAAGCACCCCGGAAGGGGAGUGAAAUAGAACCUGAAACCGUGUGCCUACAACAAGUCAAAGCCCGUUAAUGGGUGAUGGCGUGCCUUUUGUAGAAUGAACCGGCGAGUUACGAUUGCAUGCGAGGUUAAGUUGAAGAGACGGAGCCGCAGCGAAAGCGAGUCUGAAUAGGGCGUUUGAGUAUGUAGUCGUAGACCCGAAACCAUGUGAUCUACCCAUGUCCAGGUUGAAGGUGCGGUAAAACGCACUGGAGGACCGAACCCACGUACGUUGAAAAGUGCGGGGAUGAGGUGUGGGUAGCGGAGAAAUUCCAAACGAACUUGGAGAUAGCUGGUUCUCUCCGAAAUAGCUUUAGGGCUAGCCUCGGAAUUGAGAAUGAUGGAGGUAGAGCACUGUUUGGACUAGGGGCCCAUCUCGGGUUACCGAAUUCAGAUAAACUCCGAAUGCCAUUCAUUCAUAUCCGGGAGUCAGACUGUGAGUGAUAAGAUCCAUAGUCGAAAGGGAAACAGCCCAGACCACCAGCUAAGGUCCCAAAAUAUAUGUUAAGUGGAAAAGGAUGUGGGGUUGCACAGACAACUAGGAUGUUGGCUUAGAAGCAGCCACCAUUUAAAGAGUGCGUAAUAGCUCACUAGUCGAGUGACCCUGCGCCGAAAAUGUACCGGGGCUAAACAUAUUACCGAAGCUGUGGAGUACACCUUUAGGUGUAUUGGUAGGAGAGCGUUCUAAGGGCGUUGAAGGCAGAUCGUGAGGACUGCUGGAGCGCUUAGAAGUGAGAAUGCCGGUAUGAGUAGCGAAAGACAGGUGAGAAUCCUGUCCACCGAAUGACUAAGGUUUCCUGGGGAAGGCUCGUCCGC
rnacentral:rRNA from 1 species